rnacentral:rRNA from 1 species
GACGAAGGAUGCAAGCGUUGUUCGGAAUUAUUGGGCGUAAAGCGCGUGUAGGCGGCUUUGCAAGUCGGGUGUGAAAGCCCUCAGCUUAACUGAGGAAGUGCGCCCGAAACUGCUUAGCUUGAGUGCCGGAGAGGAUGGCGGAAUUCCCCAAGUAGAGGUGAAAUUCGUAGAUAUGGGGAGGAACACCGGUGGCGAAGGCGGCCAUCUGGACGGUAACUGACGCUGAGACGCGAAAGCGUGGGUAGCAAACAGG